rnacentral:lncRNA from 1 species
CCUAACAAACAUUUUUUCUGUUUACUUUCUGUGUUACAGCCUGAACCAAAGCCAUGAUGAGUUUUGGAUCCAACCCUGAAUUCUUCCCCUGAGGCCCAUCUUUGCUUUGUACGAAUGACAGAAAAAUUGUAUAUUUCUAGUUUUUAUUACCAGAGAAAGCAUACCUCUUACUGGCAUACACAGAACUGCAUGUAAAUGACCACUGAGUAGGUGUCACUUAAAUCUUAGCAGAUAUACAACAGAUUUCUGCCAGCUUAGCUGCAUUGAUGAGGAAUCACACCUCUUCUCAUCC